UGGGGAAUAUUGGACAAUGGACGAAAGUCUGACCGAGCAACGCCGCGUGAGUGAAGAAGGUUUUCGGAUCGUAAAACUCUGUUGUUAGAGAAGAACGUUGUGUAGAGUGGAAAAUUACACAAGUGACGGUAUCUAACCAGAAAGGGACGGCUAACUACGUGCCAGCAGCCGCGGUAAUACGUAGGUCCCGAGCGUUGUCCGGAUUUAUUGGGCGUAAAGCGAGCGCAGGUGGUUUAAUAAGUCUGAUGUAAAAGGCAGUGGCUCAACCAUUGUGUGCAUUGGAAACUGUUAGACUUGAGUGCAGUAGAGGAGAGUGGAAUUCCAUGUGUAGCGGUGAUAUGCGUAGAUAUAUGGGGGAACACCGGUGGGGAAAGCGGCUCUCUGGGCUGUAACUGACACAGAGGCUCGAAAGCGUGGGUAGCAAACA
rnacentral:rRNA from 1 species